AAGUCGUAACAAGGUUUCCGUAGGUGAACCUGCGGAAGGAUCAUUAUUGAAUGAACUUGGUGUGAUUGUUGCUGGUUCUUCUGGAACAUGUGCACGUCUGCCAUCUUUAUAUCUCCACCUGUGCACAUAUUGUAGGUCUGGAAUAACUGUCUGGGGAAACUCAGUUGUUGGAAUUGCUACUGCAAAGGAGCUUUUCUUGUGUUUCCAGAUCUAUGUUUUCAUAUACACCAUAAGAAUGUAACAGAAUGUAUUAAUGGGUCUUGUACCUAUAAACUAUAUACAACUUUCAGCAACGGAUCUCUUGGCUCUC
rnacentral:misc_RNA from 1 species